GUCAGUCACUGCCUCCAUAUAGGAACAUUUCUCAUGGUCAUAGAGAUCCCAGUCCUGAUAAAGGAGCUGUGUGAGUAGAUUCAUAUGUCCAUGAAAAUCUCUGUAACGGAAUUGGACCUCAACGAUGGAGUAAAUAAUGGCCGAAAGGAUUAAAUGUUUUGACCUGAGCGACAGAGAGAGACUGCAUCAGAAAAGGGGGGUGCAGUUGUGAUUCCUGGAGAAUAUUAACACACAAGCUUUAUUCUCAAGCCUGGGAGACUGUCAUCCUGACCUCUGUUUACUGCUAUUAAACACACAAGAUUUACUUUGAAGCAUUCAUUUAAGGAGGUCAAUCAACUAGCACCAGCAGCCUGGGUGGACUAUAGACCUCAGGAUGUGCGUGAAGGCCAAGCUGUCCUUAUACCUUCAGGAACUUUAACUGGAAGCCAGAGUCCCAACUAAAUUCCCAUAAGGAAAGAAAUCUUCGGCAGCCCAUGUGGCAAGAUAGACUCGAUGGGAAACGAGCUUGCUAAUGCCUUCGGUACAUCUGCAACGAGCAUCAUCGCUAAACCCUGCCACCCGAAUGCCUACCCCAGAUGAGGGACACCCGCAUCAUUGUUGCCUUGAGGAAGAGCCCAUGGACCUUUCAACACUACUUUUAACACUAAGUGACUUACAGUAACAUAGAUGAAGGGAAUGUAACACAUUUCACUGGGACGUACUGCAUCUUUGGCAACUGGAGUUCUGGUUUUAAUUCUGGAAAGCCCAGUAAGUUGGUUCAAAUGGGUUUUUUCUGUCUUCCAUACACCCAAUCAUGCCCCAAAUAGCUUUUUUUUUAGACACAGGUU